GAUGAACGCUGGCGGCGUGCCUAACACAUGCAAGUCGAACGGAAAGGCCCUGCGCUUGCGGGGUUCUCGAGUGGCGAACGGGUGUGUAACACGCGAGGAUCCCGCCCUUGACUGUGGGGGAACUCCACGAAACACCGGCGAUUAUCGCGUAGGAUCUCUUGCAGCACGGUGGGGAUUGGAGAGUUUCGGCGGUUGGGGAUGGUAUCGCGGCUUAUCAGCUUCUUGGGGAGGUAGGUGCGGACCAAGGCUUCGACGGCUAGCCGGCCUGAGAGGGUGACCGGCCUCCAUGGGCCUGCGAUACGGCCCAGACUCCUACGGGACGCAGCAGUGGGGAAUAUUGCGCAAUGGGGGGACGCCUGAUGCAGCGGCGCCGCGUGCGGGAUGCCGUCCUUCGGGUUGUAAACCGAUUUCGCCUGUGACGAAGCGUGCGUGACGGUAAUGGGUAAAGAAGCACCGGCUAACUACGUG
rnacentral:rRNA from 1 species